UUUAGGCAUUCACCCUGUGGUUUCUUCUCAUUUCCAGGGAUCAUUUCAGUUCUGCCAUUACUUUCGUCAUCCAAAACAUCUCCCAUUUCUUCAGCAGAAUUUAACAUUUCAUCCUCUUCAGACACUACUACAGUCUCAGCUACUUGACAUUCUCCAGGUCCAUCAUUUGCACUCUCAGAUCUCACUUCAUUCUGCACAGGUAAUCAACAUUUGUCUGGCUGAUAUCCAAUACUUCAAUCUCCUCUGCAGCUGAGGGAUUUUCUGACUGAGAAGAGCUUUCGGAUUUUCUCUCUCAUCAACUUGCCUUGGUGAAGAGUAAGAACAGGACUAUUCUUCCCUUCAGGACAGACAGUAUACACAGGGACAUCUUGUGCUUUCUUUAUGACUAUGUAAACAUUGGAUUCCCAUUUGUCUGCCAGUUUCUGUUUACCUCUUAACCGGACAUUUCUGACUAAGACCCUAUCACUAACUUCCAAGUUGGAGGCAAUCACAUUUUUGUCAAAUCUCUUUUUUUUUUCGU